UUUCUACUCCCUCCGUCCGAAAAUACCUGUCAUCAAAAUGGAUAAAAAGAGGUGUAUCUAAAACUAAAAUACGUCUAGAUACAUUUCCUUUUAUCCAUUUUGAUGACAAGUAUUUCCGGACGGAGGGAGUAUUUG
rfam:Triticum aestivum genome assembly, contig: Triticum_aestivum_CS42_TGACv1_scaffold_032180_1BL